rnacentral:miRNA from 1 species
CUUGCUCUUACUGUGACAUC